rnacentral:rRNA from 1 species
UACGGAGGGGGCUAGCGUUGUUCGGAAUUACUGGGCGUAAAGCGCGCGUAGGCGGUCCUGCAAGUCGGGGGUGAAAGCCCGAGGCUCAACCUCGGAACUGCCUUCGAUACUGCGGGUCUCGAGUCCGGGAGAGGUGAGUAGAAUUCCUAGUGUAGAGGUGAAAUUCGUAGAUAUUAGGAAGAACACCAGUGGCGAAGGCGGCUCACUGGCCCGGUACUGACGCUGAGGCGCGAAAGCGUGGGGAGCAAACAGG